rnacentral:rRNA from 1 species
CAAGUCGAGCGCGAAUAGGGAAACCUUAGUAGAGCGGCGCACGGGUGCGUAACACGUGGAUAAUCUGCCUGGAUGCCUGGGAUAACCAGUCGAAAGAUUGGCUAAUACCGGAUAAGCCCACGGUUUCUUCGGAGACUGAGGGAAAAGGUGGCCUCUGUAUACAAGCUAUCACAACCAGAUGAGUCCGCGGCCCAUCAGCUAGUUGGCGGGGUAAUGGCCCACCAAGGCGACGACGGGUAGCUGGUCUGAGAGGACGAUCAGCCACACUGGAACUGAGACACGGUCCAGACUCCUACGGGAGGCAGCAGUGGGGAAUUUUGCGCAAUGGGCGAAAGCCUGACGCAGCAACGCCGCGUGUGUGAUGAAGGUCUUCGGAUUGUAAAGCACUUUCGACCGGGACGAAAACCCGUAGCCCAACACGCUACGGCUUGACGGUACCGGGAGAAGAAGCACCGGCUAACUCUGUGCCAGCAGCCGCGGUAAUACAGAGGGUGCAAGCGUUGUUCGGAAUUAUUGGGCGUAAAGCGCGUGUAGGCGGCGUGACAAGUCGGGUGUGAAAGCCCUCAGCUCAACUGAGGAAGUGCGCCCGAAACUGUCGUGCUUGAGUGCC